GGGGACGUAGCUCAGUUGGGAGAGCGCCGCCUUUGCAAGGCGGAAGUCGUGAGUUCGAAUCUCAUCGUCUCCA
rnacentral:tRNA from 1 species